UACGGAAGGCAGCACUGGGGAAUAUUGCACAAUGGGCGAAAGCCUGAUGCAGCUAUGCCGCGUGUAUGAAGAAGGCCUUAGGGUUGUAAAGUACUUUCAUCGGGGAGGAAAAAACAAAACUAAUAAUUUUAUUUCUUGACGUUACCCGAAAAAGAAGCACCGGCUAACUCCGUGCCAGCAGCCGCGGUAAUACGGAGGGUGCUAGCGUUAAUCAGAAUUACUGGGCGUAAAGAGCACGUAGGUGGUUUUUUUAAGUCAGAUGUGAAAUCCCUGGGCUUAACCUGGAACUGCAUUUUGAAACUGAAAUACUAGAGUAUCGUAGAGGGAGGUAGAAUUCUAGGUGUAGCGGUGAAAUGCGUAGAUAUCUGGAGGAAUACCUGUGGCGAAAGCGGCCUCCUAAACGAAUACUGACACUGAGGUGCGAAAGCGUGGGGAGCAAACAGGAUUAGAUACC
rnacentral:rRNA from 1 species